rnacentral:piRNA from 1 species
UAUUGGCAGAGAAACAGCCCUGGUGU